rnacentral:rRNA from 1 species
GACGAACGCUGGCGGCGUGCUUAACACAUGCAAGUCGAACGGUAAGGCCCUUCGGGGUACACGAGUGGCGAACGGGUGAGUAACACGUGGGUGAUCUGCCCUGCACUUCGGGAUAAGCCUGGGAAACUGGGUCGAAUACCGGAUAGGACCACUGCCUGCAUGGGGGGUGGUGGAAAGCUUUUGCGGUGUGGGAUGGGCCCGCGGCCUAUCAGCUUGUUGGUGGGGUGAUGGCCUACCAAGGCGACGACGGGUAGCCGGCCUGAGAGGGUGACCGGCCACACUGGGACUGAGAUACGGCCCAGACUCCUACGGGAGACAGCAGUGGGGAAUAUUGCACAAUGGGCGCAAGCCUGAUGCAGCGACGCCGCGUGAGGGAUGACGGCCUUCGGGUUGUAAACCUCUUUCAGCACCGACGAAGCGCAAGUGACGGUAGGUGCAGAAGAAGGACCGGCCAACUACGUGCCAGCCGCCGCGGUAA